CCAAUAGCGUAUAUUAAAGUUGUUGCAGUUAAAAAGCUCGUAGUUGAAUUUCGGGGUUAGUAGUUUGGUCGUGCCAAUGGUAUGUACUGGGCUCACUGAUUCCUCCUUCCUGAUGAACUGUAAUGCCAUUAAUUUGGUGUUGCAGGGAAACUGGACUGUUACUUUGAAAAAAUUAGAGUGUUUAAAGCAAGCUAACGCUUGAAUACAUUAGCAUGGAAUAAUGAAAUAGGACGUUCGAACCUAUUUUGUUGGUUUCUAGGAUUGACGUAAUGAUUAAUAGGGAUAGUUGGGGGCAUUAGUAUUCAAUUGUCAGAGGUGAAAUUCUUGGAUUUAUUGAAGACUAACUACUGCGAAAGCAUUUGCCAAGGAUGUUUUCAUUAAUCAAGAACGAAAGUUAGGGGAUCGAAGACGAUCAGAUACCGUCGUAGUCUUAACCAUAAACUAUGCCGACUAGGGAUCGGAUGAUGUUAAUUUUUUAAUGACUCAUUCGGCGCCUUACG
rnacentral:rRNA from 1 species